rnacentral:rRNA from 1 species
UACGUAGGGGGCGAGCGUUGUCCGGAUUUAUUGGGCGUAAAGAGCGUGUAGGCGGCCUGACAGGUCUGCUGUGAAAACUCGAGGCUCAACCUCGAGAUGUCGGCGGAAACCGUCUGGCUAGAGUCCGGAAGAGGAGAGUGGAAUUCCUGGUGUAGCGGUGAAAUGCGCAGAUAUCAGGAAGAACACCUAUGGCGAAGGCAGCUCUCUGGGACGGUACUGACGCUGAGACGCGAAAGCGUGGGGAGCGAACAGG